CAAUAUGGCAUGCUGCAUGGCGUCAUCAAGAAAAUGUACACUCUGAACACCGCCGCGAAGCCGUCGUCAUCUCCAUAAGCCGAAAGAGAUGAGCGGAACAGUAGAAGAAGAAGAAGCCAACUACUUCUCUAAAGACUUUGAAUGGGAAACACUUAAACAAGAAAUCGAAAACAAUCCUUCUUUUAGUUAUCAUUUACUUCCCUUUGUUUCAUCUUCUCUAGCUCAUGGACAAGAAAGUGGGGAUUCAAACGCAUGGCAAAGAUUCCAUGUCCGCCACUCCACUGGAAGAUUCUUUAAGGAGAGAAGGUACUUGUUAAAGGAGUUUCCAGAGUUAGUUUCUUGCAGAGAUUUCUCCAAGGUUUUAGAGGUUGGCUGUGGCAAUGGAAGUUCCGUAAUUCCUAUCCUGCGUGGAAACAAAAGAAUCUUUGUGUAUGCUUGUGAUUGUAGCAAUGAGACACUCGAUAGAGCACAAGAGAUUGUUAAUGCCUCUAAUAUAGUGUCAGUACAAGGACGUUUUAAGACUUUCUAUUCUGAUUUUGCCUUCACUGGGUUCCCCAAGUGGUUGCUUUGCGAUUCUUGCCGGCUAAUUCUCCCUCAUAAACAAGAAGAAUGCCUAUCAUCAGAUGUUAAAGAGAGAAGUAUUAUAGAUGUCAAUGGCUCGGGUUCGUUGGAAGAAAGUGGCUGUUGCAUUGGUGGAGUGGACUUUGUUACCCUGAUAUUCACACUAUCGGCUGUGUCACUCAAAAUGAUGCCAACAGCUAUCUUGGAGUGUCUUUCUGUAUUAAAGCCCGGUGGACUGCUCUUAUUUAGGGAUUAUGGCCUCUAUGACAUGACCAUGCUGCGAUUUGAGGCAAAUAAAAGAGUGGGAUUCCGGGAGUACAUGCGAGCAGACGGCACUCGUUCUUAUUUCUUCUCAUUAGAUACAGUCAGGGAUCUUUUUGUGGGUGCAGGUUUCAUUGAGCUUGAGCUCGAGUAUUGUUGUGUUAAGUCUGUAAAUCGAAGAAAAGGGAAGAGCAUGCGAAGGGUGUGGAUUCAUGGGAAGUUCCAGAAGCCCGUAUGUGAAGCAGCACGGGAAUAUGUCUCUUCUUGAGGUGACUUGAUGUCCUUUGAUAAUUCGAUUGCAUUGUCAGUGAUUGGAGAAGAUCGAUAUCCACCCCUGAAGUUGGAAAGAAUAGCACUAAUACCCUUGCCCCUUCGAUGGCUGAAUUAUACCGCUUCUUUGAAAGGUACGGAUGUGAGCAUAUGUAAUUGCACGGAGCUUCCAGAACUUACCAGCUGCAAGAAUUAGAAUCAGUUAUACAUCCACUAGAAUUAGUUUCCCUUUCUGUAAUUCCCAUUCUUAUAUGUAACUGUUAACUUCAAAAAUUAAGACCCCAAACUGUAAUGACUGAGAUAAAUAGAUCAAUAAUAUUGUUUAAGAAAACUGUGGACGAUGAAUUCUUUGUUACA